AAAGCCAUGGAGGCUGGCCGCGGCCCACGCCAGUUUCGCCCACCAAGCACCGCCGCGGCCGCGGCCGCCUCCUCGGCGUCCCGCCGUUGCGCCGCGCGACGCCGGCGGGUAACCGGGCGCCCCGCCUCCCCGGAGAUGAUGGCCGAGGUGCGUACGCGAUCCUUUCCAGAAGCUUCCGUUCCAUCUGUGGAGUCCCACACCGCCCGCUCCAUCCCAUUUGGUACCCGCCGGCUCGCCGCCAUUGUUGCCCCUAACUAAAUCCGAGAACCGGGGGGAUCAUUCUGGAAGUCUUGGUCCUGCGUUGUCAGGGGUCAUCAGCGACGCGGAGGCUGCGAAGAGGGGGAUGAUUAUUGCAGGAGGGUGUGGUCGUGUGCGGUUUAUCGAUCUGCGGCGGUAAGUAGGUUAAAUUUAGUACUAGGAAAUUGGAUUGCCUCAUCCUGUGGUUGCAUCAUUGCCCCCUGGGAGGCUGGGAAUUUUGCGCCUCUCUCAUUUUACACUCAAGUGCCUGCGCACAAAUCUUGUCAGGGAAAAGCUAUAGUAAAAUUCCAUGUCGUUGGGUGCAAGGAAGAAGCAAUAAUCUAUUUAGAUUGAUAUGGCAGUGAAGCUUCUGAUCUAGUUUAUUAACUAUAGUGUAAUCUCUCUAUGAAUGGGUCUAAGUUGGAAGGUUUCAGUUGAAAAUUGGAAUAUUCAAGUUGAAAGUUUUGAAGUUUGUGCUAGAAGCUAUUUUUAGAUACGGAAAUCCAUCGGUUGGCUAAAUUAGUGAAUAUUCUGCUUCCUAAGUUGAAAUAGGGAUAUUUAAUAGUUUGAAUGCUCAGUUUAAAGUGUUAAAGUUUGUUUUGCAAGCUCAGCUUACUAGCUGAAAGUUUCACAUGUUAUAUAGCCUUAUAGGUAUUCUUUCAGUUCUUUAGAAAUUUUCACUAGUUGGUAAUAGUUCUCUUUUGGUAUUGACAUAAUAGAACAAUGAUAAUUCCUUCACUAAGUUGAUUAUUCUGAUUCGCAUUAUAUGUCAUGGCAGUUUAUUAUUUAAGAGUAGUCUGAAGCUUUUGAAGUAUUUCGAAAUGAAAUUGCAAAUGCUCUAUGCUUUGUUCUCUAUCUGUUUUAACAUUUCAGACUGAAUUGCGUUUCUUAGGGCCUGUUUGGGGGAGCUUUAGAUUCUGAGAAGCAGCUGUUUGGUAGCCAGCUUCUGAGAAUCUGGAAAAGCUCUGAAACCCAGCUUCUCCAGCUUCUGGCAUCUUAGUUCAUUUUUCAGAAUCUGUAACUACAGAUUCUCAGAAGCUGUAACUGAUAAGCAAGACAUAGGCCCUGUAACUACAGAUUCUCAGAAGCUGUGGACUGUUUGGGGCAGCUUCUAACAGAAGUAGCUUUUGGGAAAAGCUGCAGCUGGGAGAAGCUCCCCCAAACAGGGCCUAUGUCUUGCUUAUCAGUUCAGUUUGUUCUUCUCAAUGUUUCCGGUUGCAGGUAAUUUCUGGUUAUGGCAGUUUAGUGUCAUCAUGAUUACUGCCUACAGUGCACUUCAAUAUUUACCACUGCAUGUCUUUCCUAAUUCACACCAGUGGAAAAAUAAAUUUACCUAUGAUAAAUUGAUUAGUGAAUUGAAAUCUGGUGUCUAUUUUUUAGUGUGGUUAAUUUGAUAGGCCUAUCCUAAUACAUUGGGCCUAUGUCUUUUUAAUGAACAGGAAUCUGGUAUCCAAGUGUGCUUAAUUAAACAAACCAAUCCUAAUACAUUCCAUUGAUGACCCAUUUACUCUUUCUGAAACUUUACUGGCACAUAUAAACACUUCAUUUCAUUUCCCCCACUUUUUACAUCACCCUUCAUGACCAUGUUCUCAUUCAUACAACAUCUUAUUCUGUUGUAUUAUCUAUUCUCAAUAUUGCUAAUAAGUUCCUUCUUUUUUAAAAUCUUCAGAUUUAACUGAAAACAGCACCUGCUGACCUCUGCUUUCUGACAACAAACUAAAACCAGGCACUGUUUUACUGGCUAUAUUGAGUACCACAUGUAUAGUUUGCCACAGUGAGGCCUUAGCAGUUUCUCUGUGUUUCGUACUUCAACUUUUUUUAUUUGAAAAUAAUAUAUGUCCUUACUUUCUUUUCUAUAAUGAAGUUUGUUGGCUUCAAGUGUUUUGAGUGCCAAAGGGGACGAUACACUGGUGCCUCUGAGAAAUUUGUGAAGUACUACAGAUCACUUUACCAUGGAGAAUGGAAUUUGACUGUUUACUGGAGGAGGUCGAGGAAUGGGAUGAAUAAAGGUAGAAAAGGACGUGUCCCUUUCCCGGACCGCUGUAAACCUUACCCUCCCUGCAUAAUCAACUCGUUGAUCAAGCUACACUGUUCCAUUCUGGAUUUAGUGCGUCGAUGCUUUUGUCCUGUGUUCUUCAUAGAGUCGCUGCAAAACUGUUAGUGAUGCUUUCCUUUAUGUUGGCCUAAUAAUUGGCUACAGUUACUUCACAUGUGGUUUUCUUUGGACCUCACUUUAUUCGCAUAUUGCUGAAUUGCAUUUGCAUUAUUUCAAGCGUGCAACUGUUUCAUCCUGUACUAUAACCCUUUAUGUCAUCAAGAAGCACUGUACUGUAAUUGUUGGGAAUUGUAGGACAAUGAUUACGUAUUGUCUACUCUCUCCGUCCCAAAAAAGGCAAACUCUGAGUUUCCGUGCCAAAGUUUGACUGUCCGUUUUAUAUAAAAAAAUUUUAUAAUUAGUAUUUUCAUUGUUGUUAGAUGAUAAAACAUGAUUAAUACUUUAUGCGUGACUUAUCUUUUUAAUUUUUUUUAUAAUUUUUUCAAAUAAGACGAACGUUCAAACGUUAGACACGGAAACCAGGGUUUGUUUUUUUUUGGGACGGAGUGAGUAUGAAUGUAGUAGUGCACCAUUGUAUUCAUCAUGGUGAGUUUUGAAAACGAGCUUCUUGCUUGCUGUAAGUAUAGAUUUUCUUGAAAGAAAGAGUCGUACGUCUCCAA